UUGAUUCAAAAUCUUCGAAGUUGGAACGUUUGCGUACGUUUGCCGCCAGGGGCGCUGUUCCAACUUCAUACAUAUUUGAGUUA
rnacentral:pre_miRNA from 1 species